rnacentral:lncRNA from 1 species
CAACAAUAAUUAGCCACCGGUGUCUCGUCUGUCCAUGUGAGUUUUUACUUGUUUAAUUUGCUUGUGGGAAGUUUAUGUAAUCAAAGAACAAGUUGUGAUUGUGUUUUGUUGCGUUGCUAGUGGUUCAGUAAUUGGGACUACUUUGAUUAUGUUUUGGCAAUAGAUUUUGCUAGUUUACUAGUGCUUCAGUAGGAUUUUUCUUUUUUUUAAUUAUUAACUUAUGCAUCUAUUGAAAUCUGAACUCAAAACUUAAGCCCCAAAGAAAUUGCUUGUUACCGUUGGAAUUAGACUUGACUUUCGUAGUUUAUUAAUCAACUUGCUUGCUAGGUAGGCUUGCAUAUGAUAUGGUUUGCUAUCUUAUGGGUGGUGAUGUUUCCCUUGCAAUACCCCUCGCAUCUGUGUAAGGACAUCCAUCUAAUUUUGUUGAUAUUUUUGGAAGUUAAACUUUCAUCCUUAAUUUGAAUGAUUAAAAGAUAAUAUAUAAUUUUAGCCGCGGUUGAUUCAAAAAGGGUAGAUUUAAAAGAGAGAUUGAUUCAAAAAGAUUAAAUUAAACGUUCAAAAAAAUUUAUAAAAAAUGCAAGAUAUCCGCAAACUGUCUAAAAUACUAUCCUUUAAUCAAUAAUAUUUUAAAUAAGGAGAUUAUGGGUGGACCAAAAAUCCAUGUACCAAGCCCAAGCAAACGCGCAGAUUUAACAACCAGUUUGGACGUUACCAAAUUAUUUAUAGGUUUGGGUUCGGUUACAAAAACUCAACCACAAAAAUAAAUUUAUGUUCACUUAAAUUUCUACAAAAAUCUUCUAAAACCCCUUUAUAAUUGUCUCCUUCUUUAAAAUUACCGUCUAGGACAAAAUUAUAUCUCAUUAAACCCACCGUAAACAAUUCUUUCACGGACAAUUUUUCUCCUGUACGUAUGUACUUCUGUUAUCUUAGAGUUUAUACGAAAAUUAUUGAAACCUCAAAAUACAACUACAGAAAAAUCUCAAAAGCCGGUAACAACCCUGUUAAAAAUCAAAAUAAUGAUCAUGUUAGAAGACCAUUCCCUGUCAAAUUCCAUUGAAAAUUGAGUGCAUAUAUGACCUAGGCAAAAUAGAGAAAAAAAAAAAAUCAGUUUCAGCUUUAAAAUUGUUGUAAACUGGGUAGUCAGAGGAGUGCCAAUAGUCCAACUCAGUUCAAAUUCAUUUAGAUCUGAGAUGAAGAAAUAAACACCACAAAAUAAACUUAAAUGUUGAAAACUAAUUCUAACCCAACCUGAAUAGAUUUUUAUUGGAAGUUUUUGGUUUAAGUUACUCAAUAGUUUUAGAGUGGAGCUUCUAACAUCCCAUUAAAACUCAUAAGAAACACUACUUAUUCAUUUUUAUAUCUCUUUUUUUAUGAAAUUACAAAAAAAGUCCAUAAAAUUACAAUAGAGUUUUAAUUAAACUUCACUAUCAUUUUAGACAUACUUUUUCAUAAUAAAAUAUUAUUAUUAAGUAAUUUAUUUCCUCAUUAUCUCAAAAUUAUUUUUGACUUUAUCAAACAAAUAAGGUUAAAAAAAUAGUUAGGGGUUUAUGAUUUAUAAAGACAUUUUAGUUUAAUUAAAUUCGUAAUUUUUUUCUUUCGGUAAUUUCGAAGAAUAUUAAAGGGGUGUGAAAAACAGUACUCAUAAUUGAAUUAGAUCAAAACUUUCUCAACCCAAAUACGUUUGGAUUUGAUUGGGUUAAUCCCAACAUUCACUCACCCCUAAAAUGGCUUUAUAUAUAGCCAUUAUUAUGAAAAAUAUAAUCAUAGCGUCAACUCUUAAGUAAACUUUUCGGUUGAGAGAGGCGUAGAUCACUCAACAUGUAUUAGUAGUCAAAAUUAGAAGAGGAACUUUAUCUAGAUUACUACAUUUACCAAAUAAUUGUUAUAAGUGAAUAUGAAAUAGUUCACUCAAAGCAAGGAUAAAUGGAUGAAAGUACUACACAUUUUAUUCACAAUGAGGUUGCCUUUUAUAGGCGUUACAUGAACAAACUUAACGAAAUAAUAGCAGCCAUUAUUCAGCAAAUACUGCAGCUACUUUCCAGUAACUAUAGCCUAAAGACUAGGUAAACACAAUCUUGCAAAUAACAUUACCAACAAACUUCCUAAAGACUAGGACCAUAAAAGCAACUUAUUGACACAAGGAAAUUCCAACAAUCCCUCCCUUAAACUAAAUGUUAUUAACAUUCAGUUUAAACAUUCUGCAGAAUCUUCCUCAAAUUGCAAUUUGCAAACUCCAAGUGACUUUCCCAGCUUCAAAAAACUAGCCAAUUUGAGGGGUUUAGUAAAGAUGUCAGCAACUUGGUCUUCACUCCUGCAAUAAACAAGAUCAAUGACUUCAUUUUUUGUCAAGUCUCGCAAGAAAUGGUAUCUCACAUCUAUGUGCUUUCAUCUUCCAUGUAGAACCGGAUUCUUUGAAAGUUUAAUUGUUGAACUAUUAUCACAGAAGAUUUGUGUUGACUCUGGUUGCUUAAACUGAAGUUCAUGAAGAAUAUUUCUCAGCCAAAGUGCUUGACAUGCACAAGAAGCUGCUGCAACAAACUCAGCCUCAGUUGUUGACAAAGUAACUAUCGGUUGCUUCUUAGAUGACCAUGAAAUAGCUGCUGAACCAAACAUAAAUCAUAUCCAGAUGUGCUUCUUCUGUCAUCCAAAUCUCCAGCAUAAUCACUGUCUGUAAAGCCAUACCAAUCUGAUUUUUUACCCUUUUUGUAGAACAACCCAAAUUCAGCAGUACCACGCAAGUAUUGAAGAAUUCUCUUUGCAGCUAAAAGAUGAUCCUCUCUUGGACACUCCAUAUAUCUGCUGAUGGAACUAACUGCAUGCAUUAUAUCAGGUCGAGUUGUUGUUAAGUACAUCAAGCUUCCAACAAUCUGUUUUUAAAGGGUUGAUCACUUGACUCCUAUUGUCCUUUGCCCCAUUGGAAGUUCAGUCAACUCCCAAGUAUUAUUUUUUUCAAUGGAUGCAAUUUCUUCGUCCAUGGCUUUUAGCCAUUUUUGUUCUUUGACAGCUUCUUUAAAAGUUGUAGGAUCACAUUCUGAAAACAAGGCAAAGUGUAUGAGUGGAUUCUCAAGAGUGUUAAAUCAUGUUACCUCAUAAUCUGACAUCCAUGCAGACCUUAUUCUAUCAUGUUGAGAACGUGAAUCUGUAGCUUCAACUUGUUCAUCAAGUUCAUUUGUUGCUGGUGGAGUUUCUGCUGAGACUCUAUUUUGCGGCAGGUUAGGAGCAGAGACUGUUGAAGGCUGAAGUUGCUGUGAAUUUUCUUCAAUUUCACCAUUGAAAUCUGCUGGAAUUUGCUGCCCAACAGAAUUGCAUCUCCACAUCCAUGUCUUCUCUUCAUAAAAAAUGACAUCACGACUAAUGACAAUUUUCUUGAUGAUGGGAUCAUAUAAUUUGUAGGCCUUUGAAUGAUCACUAACACCAAGAAAAAUGCACUUUACACCUUUGUCAUCUAAUUUUCUUCUGUUCUCAUCUAGUACGUGGACAUAUGCUAUAAAUCCAAAUACCCGAAAAUGAUCUACUGCCGGCUUACAUCCACUCCAUGCUUCUUCAGGAGUUAUAUUUUGAACAACUAUUGUGGGGCUUCUGUUCAAAAUAUAAACACUCCAAACAACUGCUUCAGGCCAAAAACUUUUGGGAAGACCACUCCUCUGCAGAAGGCUUCGUACCAUAUUAAGAAUUGUACGAUUUUCCUCUCGCAUACACCAUUUUGCUGAGGUGUGUAGGCUGCUAUCAAUUGUCUUCUAAUUCCAUGAUUUUCACAGAAGCUUCCAAAUUCUUGAGAGUUGAACUCUCCACCACGAUCAGUACGCAAUAUUUUAAUUUGGCUGUCAGCUUCUCUUUCAACUAGUGCUUUAAACAUUUGAAAGGCUGUGAAAGCUUCCGAUUUUUCUUGCAAGAAAUAAAUCUAGGUUUUUUGACUAAAAUCAUCAAUAAAUGAGAUAAAAUAUCAUUUACCUCCAUUUGAUGUUGGCUUGAUUGGCCCACAUAAGUCAGAAUGCACUAGCUCCAACACUUGCUUUGCCCUCCGGAGUUUUCCUUUUGGAAAAUUAUCUCGAUGUUGCUUACUGACAAUACACUCUUCGCAAAGCUGUGAAGGUUGCUCAAAUUGUGGAAGGCCUACCACCAUAUUUUUCUACUGCAAGGUCUUCAAUCCACCAAAGCUAAGAUGCCCGUAACGAAAGUGCCAUAACCAUGCUGUAUCUUUGAAAUUUGCAGCAAAACAUGAGUGUGCAGUAUGGUGAAGAUACAAUGGAAACAUUCUGUUUGUCGUCAUUUCACUUGAGCAAUUAAGCCCAAUUUUUCAUCGUGGAUUCGGCAAACUCCUUCCUUGAUAGAGAUCUCAUACCCUUUUUUCUUGUAACUGGUUGUAAAGAUGAAAGAGUUGUUUGGUUGCAGAGAAAACAAACGAGAAAACAGAGAGAGAAUUUGUAUUUAUCUUAAGCUCAAAUAAGCUGAAUUACAAGCAUAUAUACAUAAUGCUGAAUGGAAUCUUAUAUACUCUGCAUGUGAGUAAUGUGUUUAUUUGAGCUAACAACCAUAACAGAUUUAACUGACUGGACUGCCGCAUCAGCACUAAUAACAGAUUCACUUAACUAACUAAACAGAAAGCUAAAUGUAAUUAACAAUUCAAAUAUCUUAACACUGGCCAACACUGAGAAGGUUAGUUUUCAGUUCAGGAACGAAUAAAACAUUUGAGAUAGAAUGAGAACUUUCCUUGGUUUGGAUUGCAGCCCUUCCUUUCCCCAUGACAGAAAUUGUAGAGUCAUCACCAAAUUUUACAGUAUUUCGAAAAGUCUCAUCCAAGUCAGAAAAAGUAGAUUUAUCCCCACAAAUAUGAUUGCUACAACCGGUAUCUAAGUACCAUAGAUUUUGGUGACUUUCCUCCUUUGUAUGACAUGCCAUAAGAAGGGAAAUUUCUUCUUCCUCCUUUUCUACAAAGUUAGAUUUCUCGCCACGAUUCUUAUUUAAAUUAGUACAGCACUCAUUGUGGUAAUGACCGUACUUCUGACAACGGAAGCAUUUAACAUUCGAUUUGUCUUUAGACUUUGGUUUAUGUCCUGUCGAAUUCUGACCAUCACAAUCCUUUCCUUUUCCUUAAGAAUCAUCAACAUUUUCUUCUUAUUUAUCCUACCCAUUCUUGCCUUUCCAGCCUCCUUUACCCCCUCCAGUUGGUUUGAGAUUUGCUGCUGCCUGUAAUGCAUGUUCUUCCUUAUCCUGUCGGAUUACUUUCUACUCAUGGACUAGCAAAGUGCUUUCCAAUUCAUCAAUCGAAAUUUUGUCAAUAUCCAUUGAUUCCUCAAUCGCACAAACAAUAUAGUUAAAUUUUACCGUUAAAGAUCGAAGAAUCUUCUCAAUUAUGAUAACAUCCUCGAGCUGCUCGCCAUGAAUUCGUCUCUUAUUUGCGAUUGCCAUUGUCCUUGCAAAGUAUGCUAAGACCGACUCUCCCAUCUUCAUUCGUAGAGAUUCAAAUUCAUAUCGAAGUGUCUGGAGGUGUACCCGAGAUAAAAAAGGAGGCUAGUAGUUUUCACAAGCAAAAGUUAAGAAUCGAUUUUAUUUUUUUCAGGCUGUGGAUUCAUUGCUUUACAAUUCUUUAUAUAGAACUAGGUUCUCAUGUUUUAGUUACAUCAAGACCUAGCAUCUACGGCUAUCAAUUUCAUCACAAGACAUUACAAAAGUUGUUAUAACAACCUGACACUGCAGUUUGUCUUCUUGUCUUCAGUUGCUCAGUCUUGUCUUUAGCAAGCUGUGAUAUCUUGCUCCUUCAGCUUGAUUACCAUCCAAUCCUGACCUUUGAUGCUUCUAGCCAUCCAACGACUAAUAUUCAAACAUCAGAUGGCUUGCUUAAUUCAAGAGAUUCAUGAGUUCCCGCCAAUGCCUUCAUUGAGGUAUAUUAUCAAACAAUUGUGCAGCAACCUCAGACACAUUUAUUUUAACUCCCCCUCUCAAGCUCAAUCGUCUGCUAAGACAUUGAGCUUGCUUCUUAGGUAUUCGAAACUUCGAUUAAGUAGUGCCUUGGUCAUUAUAUCUGCAACUUGGUUCUUGCUUUCCACAUACUUCAAAUCAAACUCUCGGUUGCUGAUUUUAUUCCUCACGAAGUGAACAUCUAUUUCAAUGUGUUUGGUUCUUCCAUGAAAGACUGGAUUUUCAGCAAGAGCUAUUGCACUCUUGUUGUCACACCAUAGUAUUGGCCUCUUCUCCAACUUGAUGUUCAUCUCUGCAAGUAAGGAUUGUAACCAAGUCAAUUUAGCUGCUCCAUUUGACAGUGAUCUAUAUUCUGCUUCUGUGCUGGAGGUUGAUACUACAUUCUGCUUCUUUGAACUCCACGAGACUAGAUUUCCUACCAAAAACAUGCAAUAACCACCUGUAGACUUUCUGUCAUCUCUAUCAGCUCCCCAAUCGGCAUCUGUGAAGGCUGAGAUUUCCAUUUUGUUUCCAGAUGUGAAGUACAGACCAUAAUUUAGGGUGCCUUGAAGGUAUCUCAAGAUCCUUUUGCAGCCUUGCCAGUGUAUCACUUUCCGUUCUUGCAUGAAUUGACUUAGUUUAUUUACGCUGUAAGCAAUGUCUGGUCGGGUGAUGGUUGCAUACUGCAAAGCUCCAAUGACACUUCUGUAGAGAGUUUUGUCUUCAAAAAACUGUCCUCCCUCUUCUUCUUCAGUCUCCAAGGUGUACUUCACACUUGAACUUAAUGGGGUUAUGCUUUCUCUGCACCCUUUCAUGUUUGUCUUCUCUAGAAGUUCUUGCACAUAUUUGCUUUGGCAAAUAUACAUCCCUGCACGAUCCCUUUUUACUUCAAUUCCAAGAAAAUAACUUAAUGAGCCUAGCUCCUUCAACGCGAAACUCUCAUUAAGCUUUUUAAUCAGGUCAUUGACAAGAUCUUGGCUACUACCAGUUAUGAGUAUGUCAUCUACAUACACAAGUACGUAUAUAACUUUUCUAUUAUCCCUCCAAUGAAACAGUGAGGUAUCCGAGACUGAGUUCUUGUAUCCCCAGCUAAGUAGGGCAGCUUUGAGCUUUUCAUACCAAGCCCUUGGAGCUUGUUUCAGUCCAUAUAAUGCUUUCUUUAGUCUAUAUACAUAGUUUUCCUUUCCUUUCACUUUGAAUCCUUCUGGUUGCUCCAUGAACACGGUUUCAUUUAGUUCUCCAUUUAAAAAGGCAUUGUUGACAUCUACUUGUUUGAUGUCCCAACCAUAGAUGACAGCCAAACUCAAGAGUACCUUGAUUGUGGAUGACUUGGCCACUGGACUGAAGGUUUCUGUGUAAUCAACCCCCGCUGUUUGGUUAUAGCCUUUUGCCACUAAUCUCGCCUUGUGUCUCGCUACUGUCCCAUAUGGAUUGUGCUUUACUUUGUAGACCCAUUUUUUUCCGAUGACCUUUGUACCCUCUUGAACUUUCACCAAUUCCCAAGUGUUGUUUUCCAGUAGAGCUUUGUAUUCAUCCAACAUAGCAUUUCUCCAUUUCACAUUCUUGAUAGCACUUGCUAUAUUUGUUGGUAACUCAUACGAACUCCUUUGUGCAAGGUAUAUUUUAGGCUUGUAGAUUCCAUGUUUGGAUCUGGUUACCAUAAGGUGUGUGUUUAAUGGUUCUAAUGGUCGCUCAGGUUCUAUAUUGACUCUCUCUUGUUGAUGGUUUGGCUCAGGUCGGCUCUCAUCCAAUUGUGUUUCUGUGUUUGGUUGAUGUGUUUGGAUCUGGUCUUCGUUUGGUGUUCUGAUUUGAUUUUCGAAUGAUGCUUGCAUUGUAUCUUGUGUGGAGUUAUGUCCACCCUCUUUGGAUUUUUUGUAUGGAUUGCUGUUUAAUUGUGGAGUUGAGAAAGUGCCACAAGGAAGUAAUAGAAGCUGCUGAUAGUUAGGUUGACUACUUGUCCUGCUUUCACUUUUGUUAGUCUCAAAGUUCUUAUCUAUAACAAAAGGAAACUCAUUCUCAUUGAAAAUCACAUGUCUAGCUACAUAAACUAUGCCUGUGUUAUCUAGACAUUUGUAUCCUUUGUGCUGUAAGCUAUACCCUAUAAACACACAUUUAGUGGUGUGGUACUGAAGUUUAUGUUGAUUAUAGGGUCUUAAAUAUGGAAAACAGGCACACCCAAAAGUUUUUAGGAAGGCAUAAUCAGGCUCAUUGUUGUAAAGUUUUUUGUAUGGACUGAUAUGACCUAGGGCCUGCGUAGGCAUUCUAUUGAUAAGAUAUGCAGCAGUUUCAAAGGCGUUCCACCACAGUUUUAAGGGCAUGUUUGCUUGUGCUAGCAUGGUGAGUGCUGUUUCUACAAUGUGCCUAUGCUUCCUUUCAACUUGACCAUUUUGUAUUGACGUAUAUGGACAGGAAUGUCGGAACAUGAUUCCAUUGUUCCUAAGAAACUUGGUUAAUGGUCUAAAUUCUCCCCCCAUAUCAGUCUGUAGACACUUGAUUUGUUUAUUUAAUGUUUUCUCUAUUUGAUUCUUGAAGUCAAUGAAGGUUUGUGCUGUUUCUGCUUUGCUGGUUAAGGGGUAAAUCCAUGUGUAUCUUGUGUGAUUAUCAACAAUACUUAAGUAGUACCUGUAACAUUUUCCUGAAAUUAUAGGUGCUGGACCCCAAAGAUCUGCAUGGAUCAGUUCAGGGGGCUGCUUUGUCUGUGUUUGUGAGCUUUUAAGAGUCAAUUUGUGAUUUUUACCAUAUUGGCAUGCAGUGCAGAAACUCAAAGAUUUUUCUUUAUUGAAAUCAGAUAAAUUUUUACAACUUGAAAUGAUUUUCAUAAGGGUCUGUUCACAAGGGUGACCAAACCUUCUGUGUAACAGGUGAAGUUGAUUAAUUGACUCACUACUAUGCUUAGGACUUAAAGACUCAUCAACACUUUCUGAGACAGAAGCCUCACUUAUUGAAGCAAACAAAGACUCUGAUUUGUAGACUCUAUCAGCAGCACAUCCCUUCCUUGGACUUACAUAUUCUUGACUUCCAACAAUCUGAAACAGCCCUCCUAUAUCAAUUCCUUGAAGAAGAACAUUCUCCAAUUUGUCCUUAACAACACAAGUUUCAUCAGAAAAUACAAUUGUUAGUUUGUUAUCUAUUGUAAGGCUAGAGAUACUUAGCAGGUUUUUGGUUAUUUGUGGAACUACAAGUACCCUUUUAAGCACAAGAUGUUCAUAUUUGUUACCAGCAUAUAUAGGCAAAAGUAUCGUUCCUGUGUGUGUGAUUUUAAGCUUGUGUCCAUUUCUCAUUAAGAGAAAGGAGUUACCUUUGUACUCAGACCUUACACUGAGGUUGUUGAGGUCAUUUGUGACAUGAUUAGUUGCUCCACUGUCUAAGUACCAGCCUGGUUCACUGCUUCCAUCAUUUGUUGCCAGAAAGGCUCCUCUUGGUUGACAAUUCUGAGGCUUUGGUUCAAAGUCAUCUUCUUUUCUGUACCAACACUCAUCAGCUGUAUGGCCCUCUUUGUGGCAGAUUUGACAAAAAACUCCAGGCUUGAAUACCGUCUUCUUUUCUCCAUGUGGUCUCCCUCUUCCUUUUCCUUUAUUUGGUCUUCCAGCACCAUUGUUGAGAGGUCCAAAGUAUUGAUUUUGUGGACUAAGGUACUGGUUUGGUGGUUGGUUCCUUGGUCUCUCAUUCCUCUUUUGGGUCCAGUUGUUCCUUCCUUGCCUUGAGGCCACAUUUGCUUCGAAAUUGUUGUCAUGAGUUGCAUUCUGCUCCAGUCUGGCUUCAUGGUUCAACAACACAGAAUACAUUUCAUCAAAGGUCAGUUCAUGAAGUCUUGAAGUGAGGUUAACAACAACGGACUCAAAAGAUUGGCCAAGACCAGUAAGCACAUGAGAACAAAGAUCUUCUUCUGAAACUGGCUUUCCUGCCAUUUGCAACUCAUUUGCCAAGUUUCUUACUUUUGUGCAAAACUCAGUGAUAGUUUGUGUGUCUUUUCUUGCACCAUGCAAUUGCAUUUUGAGAACUAUGGAUCUGGCUAUUGAUUGGGAGGCAUAAAGCCUUUCCAGCACAGACCACAGUUCUUGUGAAGUUGUGCAAUGUGUCACAGCAGUGAUAAUAUUCUCUGAUAUUGUAGAAAGAAGCCAACUUAAGAGAAGUUGGUCUUGUCUACGCCAGAGUGCAUAUGCAGGGUUUGCAGAUGCUAUGAAGUUGUUUUCUGCAUCAGCAUCCACUAGGAACUUUUCUGGACAUACAGAUGUUCCAUCAAUGAAGUUUUCCAGGCCAUUGCCACGGAUAGCAGGCAAGACCUGGGCUUUCCAUAUAAUGUAAUUUCCUCUGUCAAGUUUCAAAGGGGCUGUGAAGGAAAAACUUAUGGGUACAUGCAUAUUUGUGUGUGAGGAUGAUGAUUCAGUUUGUGUUUGGGUGGGUAAAGGACUUUGUGUUUGAGCUGGUGGUGUGUUGUUGAUCACAGCUUCUAGGGUUGGCUCAUUUGUUGCUUGAUUAUCCAUUUCUGGAUUUUUAAAGCUCUGAUACCAAGAUAAAAAAGGAGGCUAGUAGUUUUCACAAGCAAAAGUUAAGAAUCGAUUUUAUUUUUUUCAGCCUGUGGAUUCAUUGCUUUACAAUUCUUUAUAUAGAACUAGGUUCUCAUGUUUUAGUUACAUCAAGACCUAGCAUCAACGGCUAUCAAUUUCAUCACAAGACAUUACAAAAGUUGUUAUAACAACCUGACACUGCAGUUUGUCUUCUUGUCUUCAGUUGCUCAGUCUUGUCUUUAGCAAGUUGUGAUAUCUUGCUCCUUCAGCUUGAUUACCAUCCAAUCUUGACCUUUGAUGCUUCUAGCCAUCCAACGACUAAUAUUCAAACAUCAGAUGGCUUGCUUAAUUCAAGAGAUUCAUGAGUUCCCGCCAAUGCCUUCAUUGAGGUAUAUUAUCAAACAAUUGUGCAGCAACCUCAGACACAUUUAUUUUAACUACCCGCUUCGCCCUUGCUGUCCCUUGGUACUUCUUUUUCAAGGAAUCCCAAAUUUGUUUGGAGGAGUCUUUGUUAAGAAUUGUUUCCAAGAUUGAGCGAUCAAUAGCUUGGAAUAAGUAAUUCUUUGCCUUGAGAUCCUUUAAUCAUUGCCCUUCAAGCUCUAUUUUCUGAGCAUCCGUCAAAACAACACCGGCUGGUGGUUCAGUUAUUCCAAUUGAAACAACUUGCCAAUACUCCUUGGACCUUAAGAAAUUCUCCAUCAACAUGCUCCAAUGGUCAUAGUGACCAUCAAAGCGGGGAAUUGCAGGUUGAACAAAAUUCUCAGAAGCCAUGAAUUUCUACUGCUGCAACACGAGUGCAAAAAGAGCCAAGUAAGCUACUAUUACUAACUCUGUCAAUCCACUUUUCUAAUUCAAGCUCUGAUACCACUGUUAUAAGUGAAUAUGAAAUAGUUCACUCAAAGCAAGGAUAAAUGGAUGAAAGUACUACACAUUUUAUUCACAAUGAGGUUGCCUUUUAUAGGCGUUACAUGAACAAACUUAACAAAAUAAUAGCAGCCAUUAUUCAGCAAAUACUGCAGCUACUUUCCAGUAACUAUAGCCUAAAGACUAGGUAAACACAAUCUUGCAAAUAACAUUACCAACAAACUUCCUAAAGACUAAGACCAUAAAAGCAACUUAUUCACACAAGGAAAUUCCAACAAUAAUAUUAUAAAAUGUAAAAGUUUUAAUGGGGUGUAUUAAACGGGGUGUACCCCAUCACUAUCUUAAGAAUGGUGAUUUUGAUGAUUUGAUCCCUUAUUAUAUCUCACAAGCCCCCCAUUUUUUAGUUAAUUCCAUUAAAAAUUUUAAACAAAUUUUUAUCUCUCAAUAUACCUUACCUAAUCUCUAAUUUACCUUUAUUUUAAUUUUUUUUCAUACACCCAUUGUAUAAAUUUUAUAAAAUCAUUUCUUAAAAAAAAAUCUCAUAAUGAUUGUAAUUUCUCAACUUUUUUUUAAGGUUUUAUCCACCACUUAAGAUUUGAUAGUUCCACCAAGAAUUGGAGCAAAGAACCAUGCCGAGUCGACCCUGAAUAACCUUAGUAUCGUGCUAAGCCUAUCAAGCCAAAGUUGAGUGAAGGAAUACAAGAAUUUGGCCAAGGUGUUUGACGUGAUAAAGAUACAGAUUUUUUAUUAUUAUAAUUGAUUUGGAGCUAAAAAGGGGAUUCUCGAUUUCCUUUUGUAUGCAUCCCAAUCUUGUAUUCAAGUUUAUUUGUUCAUGGACCAGAAUGCAUUGCAUUUGGAAAGUGUUUGCAAUUGUACAGUGAUAUUACUUGGACAGUAAUUUGGCGUUGCAAUGCAUUUACAAAACGAAUGAAAAUUUGGAAUCGCGAUGGAAAAUACUGUCAGGUAUCUAUCUGAGAAUGAAAGCACUCGCUGUCAGUCUCUAUGGGAUUGCAGUAUAAAAUUUUACAUUGUUCUUCAAUAUUUUGAAUAGAAUGUCUUACUUUGAAUGGAAUGGCGCAGUUUAAAAAAUUAGAAGAAAUUAGAGUUUAAGAAAUUAGAUUCGCUUAAUUAGUUAUUAAUAGAAAUUUUUAUGUCGGUGCACUUAAAAAUUAUUUAUUAUUUUAAGUUAUUUCACAUGAGAAUAAAAUAGGUAUUAACAUAAAAGUUAUUAGUGUGGGUUGAUAAGAUAUAAUAAGAGAUUUAAACAUCACCACUCUACUUAUAGAGCAGCUCCAAAAACGAUCUCAUUGGUCGAAAAAGGCUUGACCCAUUGAACGAGGACCCUUAAAAUUUGAUCCUAGCUUGACCCAUACGACAGGCUGAACAGGUCGGUCCUUUACACAAUCAAAACAAACUUGUGAGUAGGGGUGGGCAAAUAACCCAAUCUGAUUCGACCAAAAAACUUGAGUUCAGAUCGGAUGUAGAUGAAUUUCUCAAUCCAAUUAGGUAGGAAUCUAUCCAAAUCGAUCCGAAAUUACACACAAUUAAAGAAUAUUAUUUGAAAUUUUUUAUCCAUUCCAAAUAUAAUUCGGAUUCAAUUAUAAGUCUGGAUUGAGCUUGGAUUACUUUUUUCCUAACUCGAUUAACCGGAACUCGAACCCGAUCCGAAACCGAAUUUGCCGACCCCUACUUAUUAUCGUUUACACAUUACAUUUGUGACUAUCAUUUUUAAACUAAAAUUUUCUCUUGAUGCGAAUAAGAAAAAAAAAUACAUAGAGUAAAUUUCGUUUAAAAAAUGAGGCACCAUAGAUGGACCGUACAUAUGGUACAGCUAGCUGAAAUGGAAGUAGCCUUGUGAGUUGUGAGAGCUGCCUAUUUUGGAUUCAGGACGAAAUAUUUAAGAAGCAAGCAAGUAAAUAAAUCAAGAAAAUAAUAUUCCGCCACCCUCAUUCCAGAGGGAAGCCAAAAACGACAUGCUUUUGUGCCGUUUUGAAGUUUUAGAUUUGAAAAUUAAAAAUAAAUUUUACCAUUAAAAAAUAAUAAAAGCUAAUCAAAAGAAAUUAAAAAAUCUAAAUUCUUAUCCCUCCCCUCGCUCACCCCCUCUCUCUUUGACUCACCCCGCUCUGUCCCUCUCACUCUCACCCACGAAGCUCGUUCCCCUCUCACUCACCCACAAGCUCACUGUCAAUAUUUUUCUCAGAUCUCAGCUAACGCAUCAUCAAAACCGCAACCAUGACGCUAGGCUGAGGAGGAUCCAGUGUCGUGGGUCAGUUUCUUCUCUGAUCUUGCCAUUUUUUGUUCAAUCUAUUUAUGCCCUGGAUUGAUUUAUUCUCUUUGUUUUGUUGUGUUUCUUGUUCUGGCAAAAUCUAUUUGUCUAAUUCACAUACGGGUCGUAGCCGUUGCUUUUAUUAUUUUAUAAUUUUUUUUGGGUAGUUUUGUGUAGUCUUAUGAACAUUCUUUUUGGCAUAAAUGCAUCUGGGUUGCUACGUGCCUACGUUUGAUUGUUAAUUAGACCUGAUCCGUAAUUCUAUGCGUUUUUUGAAUUUUUGAUUGCGAAAUUAAGUUAAUUUAGUUUAAUAUGAUUACAUUAUUGUCACCUAAAAUUAGUAUAUUUAAUCAGUUAAAGAAAUUCUUUUGACAUGGACUUUAAUGAAACCUUGUAUGUGAUACUUUGCUUAGCAAAGUACUUGGAUUUUGGAUUUUUUUUCUAUUUAUAUUUUAAAAUUACUAGAAAUAAGUUAUUUGAAGUGUGAUACUUUGUGAAAUGUUAAAGCUUACGGUUUGGUUGUAAUUCUGUUUUUGCUUAUAUAUGUUUACGUCUGUUGGCAUUCUUUUUUUUUUUUUUUUUGGUAUUUGAAGUUUGCAUAUAUGGUGUGUAUUAAGAUUUUCAAGUGGUUCUUCAAACAUAUUCUGGGUAGUUUGAUAUAUCCAUGUUUCUGUGAAUUCUUUAGUUGAGGCAAUUGUUUUUGGUCUUAGCUGCAUUGUUAAGUUCUUUACCACAUAGAAUUCCCUAAUUUUCUUCUGCUAAUCCAGUAAUUGCAGCUUCAUUCUAAGGUUCUUCAUUUUCUAUAAAGCAUAUAUUGCUUCAUUAACCCUCCUCUAAAUAUGUUGCAAAUAUGUAUUUGAUUCAUUCCAAUCUUACAGAUCAUUGUUGGAUGCCGAAUCAGCAUACAAUGCUUACAAUUAUGAGAGAAAAAUGAACAACCAAUUGCCCAGUUCAGUUACGCUUUAAGCUAGGAAGAUUGACGUAGAAACAUUUGUUUAAGUGUAAUUACCUAGGUAGGUGAAAAAGGUCCAAAAUCGUCAAGCACACUGUCAACUAAGGCUGGUCGGCGACGUGAACGGCGUGAUAGCGAUGUCGGUGAUGGGCUGGUCGGCGAUGGGCGUGGCGUGACAACAAGUUUCGUGGGUGAGUGACAGCCUGAGAGAAAUAGCUCGCAAGUGGGUGAGUGAGAGAGACAGAUCGGGUGAGUGAGAGGGAAGGUGAAUGAGAGAGAGACAGAGCAAGCGAGUGAGAUGGAUGGGUAAGAAUUUUGGAUUUUUCAUAUUCUUUAGAUUUAAUUUUAAUAUUUUUCAAUGGUAAAAUCUAUUUUUAAUUUUCAAAUUUAAAACUUCGAAACGGCAGAGGAAGCAUGCGUUUCUGGCUUCGUUAUGGUCUCGUGGUGGCCGAAUAUCAUUGCCCAAUAAAUCAUGAUUCUUCGAGAGACCCAGCAACCGCUUGUGAAAACACAAUGGUUAUUCCUAAAGCCAAGCAACUCUCAGCACGAAAAAGUGUUAAGUGGCCAACAACUCCUAACAACCCUUAGACUAAGUCCAGCACUUACCAUACUAUGUCCUAUAUAAUUGAAACGUAAAUAGAUUAUUGACAGCAAAACAAAAUAAUAACUUAAUAUAAUGACGUGUAACAAUGUACAUUUUUGUCAAUUAUGCGUUAGUGUUUGAUGCCCUUCUUUCAAAAAUAAAUAAAAAUUGAUGCAUAUGUACCGCAAUGUCAGUUCUGAGGGAGCUGUGACGAGUAAUGAUUAAAAUAUACAAGUGAUGAAAUUUUGAAUUAUGAUAUAAAUGCAUAAAUGGCAUAAUAUUAAUUAUUAAAUAUAGCAAGUAAAUUUUGAUGCCAUCAUUUUAAAAAAUUAACAAAAAAAUAAACAAAUUGAUAUUCAUGUGCAUGUCUAAUGUUUUAUUUAUAUAAGAUUAAAAUUCUCUUUUCAUCUGGGUUUUUAUUUGAGCAAAUACAAUUAUUGGUAGUUAGCAUAUAGAAGCACAAUUAAAAAGUAUAUCUCGACCGUGCUCAUGUACAUGUCGAAAGAAUUAAAGAAAAGGAGCUCUCUAGAUUCUGUUUGUUUGAUAAGAAAAUGAAUGGAAAAUUUUAUUGAUUCAAAGAGAAAAUUUGUUCGCUGGAUUCUUAUUUGUAAGUCUUACUAAUGAAUUGAGAGUACAUUGAUAAAUAUAGCUGUGUGUGGAAACUUCUACUGCAACAAACUCGUGUCCACAUUUCCAGCGCGCUAACUAUAACAACCUACUGACUAAGUUUGGAAGGAAAUAACAACUUGUUUAACUGUUUUACAACUUGGCUGCUGACUCAUCAUUACACUGAAAACCCCAGCUGACUUCAACUGCUGACUUAGCAUUUAUUCUUAACAGAAAGAUAAUGAUAAAAAAGUUGCUUCAGAAUUCGUGGGCACGCACGGACCCUACUUGUAGAACUCCAUAACCCAUAAGUUGUAAAAAAAGCAUACAAAUCUGAUGCCACUAAAUCCAGCUUCAGUAGCCAAGGUCGUGAAUUCAUGCUUUGUUCGCUCCUUUCCUCCCGGAUAUUGAGUCAUCACCAGCACAUCAGCUAGGGAAUUUAUUUUUGAAUGAGUGCUAGUCUCAGGCAGUUCUGGAAGUACUGACUCCACAACAAUUACCUUCCCUCCUUCGGGAAUACUUUUGUAGCAAUUCUUCAAUAACUUCAAGCAAUGUUCAUCGCUCCAAUCGUGCAGUAUCCACUACAAAAUUUGAAAUAUUAUGAAAUUUGUUCAGGGAUCGAACGCCUAAUACCUGCAAAUUAAAUUCAAAUGAAACUUACCUUGAUCAAAAUGGCGUCGCCAUUUGGAACACUUUGAAACAUGUCACCCCCUACAUGCUUAACACCUGUACUACAUACAAUUUAGUUUCCGCUCUUAGGAUCUAGCGGUAUGGGCAGAGAAUUCAUAAGAGCACUGAUAUUCGCGAAAAGAAUUUAGAUAAAAUUCUGACAAAAACAACAAUAAAUCAACCCUGAUUUUUUCACUAAAUUGCAAAUAUGGUAAAUCGAGUCUGUUUUGAUGUUUUUUGUCAGUUUUUUCUUGUUGCAACAUUUUGUGCUUUUACCCUUUUUUUCCAAAUGAUAAUGUAUAUUUCUUCAUAACAAUGACAUUAAAAAAAAAAAAAAAAGAGAUUGGAAUCAAUUUUCUAAUUAACUUCCUACUUUCUCCAGGAUUUAUAUUGGGAUGAUUAAUUAAAGAAAGCUACUUAAAAGCCACUUGACCAAGUCCCUAACAUUAUUAUAAAGAUAAUUGAAAGUUCAUACCAGGAUACUCAGGGGAAUGCUGUAUAACGUGAGGCAAGUCGAAAUUGAUGCCCUUAAUGUGGGGAUACUUGGAAGUAAUUGCUUUAAGGGUAUUGCCAAGGGAACCGCCAACAUCAACCAAUUGCUUUAUGUGCUCGAAACCCUUGUAAGCCUCAAGGAUUUUUUGAAGGACCAAAGUGGUAUGGUUGAACAUCGCUGUGCUGAAAACUUCAUUGAACCUGGGGUCCAAUCCUAGGUACUCGAAAGCGUUCGUUCCGUGGACUCGGUCAAAUGGAACUCCUCCUUCAAUAAUAGUUUCUUUCAGUUGGGACCUACAUGACCAGUUAAUCAAUCAUCAUUUUGCGUUUGGCCGAACUUUUUUAGAUACAAUGAUUAGUGGUUGAUAAAAACAAAAAUAAUAAAGGGAUAUAUCUAUAUUAUAUAUAUGACGAUGUAAACGUUUCAUAAAAUCCCUUAACAGAUAAGAUGAGUAGAGGAUUCAUUGCCAUUAAAAAUUUUAUGUUAUAUCUUAACUCAUAACUGUCACAUACAUCUUUAUGAAAACGAGCAAAAAAAUGGGAAUCAGGGUAAUAUUAUCAUACGGGUGGGUUGCUAAAUUUUAGCAACGGCACAAAUUAGGAGAUAUGUAGUUUGUAGUACUUUUACAUAUAGCUAGCUCCUGCUGUUAUUUUGUUUUCCCUAAAAGAUUUUAUUUCUAAUUCUCUCCAGGCAAGUGAUCAUACCACCCCAAGUGAAUCUUUUAAUUCAGAGAAAUUCUACGGAAGAAGUUAAGAAAUUUUUGUUCUUCCAGGAUUUCUGUCAGAACGGAAGAAACUACUCAAUUAAUGCUUUCAAUAGAACAAAAUACAUUGUCUUUUUCAUAUAUGUUACACUCAUGUCCUCUAUAAUUAAAAGACAAAAAUACCUCCGAAAGAAAACAUAUUUCCUCAUAUCCUCUGUAGCUGCAAGUAAUUAAAACACCACCAACAAUAGUUUACCCGUUCUUGAAUUGAUAUGACUAGAAGUAUAUUAAUAAUGAUUUAUAAGUUUGAGAGUGAGCCUUCUACAUUUUAUCGCUCACUUAUAUGAACACGUUUGUUUUUCUUUUUCGAUGACCUGAAUUUAGAAAUAAGUUGAGUAUGAAGUCGAUUAUGAUUUAAGACUUGGGAGAAAUGCAUGAUUGGAUCUGAAGGCGUAGAAAGAGAAUUGUAUUAUAAACCCAUGUAUUUUUACCCUAACUUAAAAAAAGAAAAAUUCAGGGGAUUAAAAUGAUAGAGUGGACAAACCAGCUGUCGAGAAAGGCCUCGUCCUGAAUUAAGGCCAAUACAGGGCCUAAUGAGACACCAUCUUGAUUAGGCACAAAGUAUUUGGAAACAUCAUUCAAACCGUAUAGCCUGUGAGAACCAUCUACAUCAUCAAGUGAGCAUUCAACAAUACCAUAGCUAGCCAGAAGCCCGAGUAUCCGGUCCAGCAUCGUGGGUGCGUCUUUGUUCUUGGUGGCGGGCAACUGAGCGGCAAUCUCUGAAGCUGAGAGCUUUGCUCCAGGACCAGCUUUGGCUAUGAUCUCCAAAAGUCCCAGCUUAAUUACUGCUUUCAUGGUCAUGUGGAGCACUGAACCCGUCAUCACUUCACAGGCAUAUGCAAAGUUUUCGUCUCUCGCUUCAUUAGCCAUAUUUUCUUGAAUUUCCUUAUCUGUUUUCCUCAGAAACAAUGCAUUUAUAGUGGAGUGAAGAGUUACUGUGUGUCCAAGAUUUUAGGUUGUAAAAUCUGACCCGGAAGUUUUCGAUAGUUCAAGUUAGACUAAAUGACAGAAAUUAAAUUAUGAUUAUAACUUUUUCAAAGAUAAAAGUAUGGAAGCUUGGCAACUCUAAAAAAAUUAUAUUAUUAGGGAUAAAAACUUUAUUUAAUUUGCAUAAAUUGAAAUGACAUAUUGCAUGAUUCUACAUGUCUCGUAUUAUUUCUUUUAUUUUGUCGACUUUAAAAAAUCUGAAUGGCCAACCUCUUCGAAAAUGUAUUUAAUAGUUUUUUAUAGCGAUGUAUUGUUCAAUAGUUUUUUAUAGCGAUGUAUUGGAAGUAAUUUAAAAGAUCAAACAUUUCAAAUGAGAUCCUAUUAUCAAACAAGAGGAAUUCUAAAAUAUAUCGGAGGUAUUAUGUCAGUUACACAAUAAGUCAAUAAUAUUAUAGAAUGUGUGCAUUUAUUUGAAAAAUUACCAUGUAAGUGGUACUUAUAUUAAAUCCAAUUACACACGUCACAUAUACAUUGAUUAGUUGUAUUACCCCUGAUUUAUUCUAAAAUUUAUCGUCAAACAGAGAGCUUUUAGUUGAAAUGAGGAACUAUAAUUAUUUACUGACAUAAGUUUUUCCUUUGAUUAUAAUAUAUUAACAUUUCAUGUGAGGAAAUAUUAGUUUUACAUUUUUUUUCCUAUUAUAACAUGUUUUAAAAAAGGAUUAUAAUUCUUACUUAGUUUUUUUUUUCGCAUCUAGUCUUUUUUAGUGUUCCGAAUUUAGUGAAAAAAGGCAGCUUAAUUAUAAAUAAAGUGAAACAUUCUGGCUUAAUUGUUAACAUUAAAAUUUAAAAUUCAAUAUUAACCACUUAUUUCAUUAAAAGAGACUAAAAGAGAGAGAGAGAGAAGAUUCUUGUCCAAAAGAAAAAUAAAAUAAAGAAAAGCAAACGAAUACUUCACUUUCAUCGAAAUUUUCAAAUAUCAAUUUUUAUGACUUUAGGCCAAAUUUGCCAUGCAAAAUUGGAUUGGAUUAAUUAUUAGAAUAAGACUGAAUUAGAUUACUUGGAUAAAGUCGAAUUAUAUUAUACUGUCUUAUGUUUGGUGUAGUACGAGAUUGAACUAUGUUAAAUUAUAUUUCAAUGAUAUCAAAUAGCAUUUAAGUUGAUAUUUGAAUAUGAACAUCAGUUAUUCAUGAAAUUUUAUAACAAUAAGGAAACAAAUUUAAAAAGCAAUUAAUUAGAAAAUUAAGUAUAUUGUAAAUAAGUUAUUAGGUAGUCAUAAUAUAAUAAACAAAUGAAAAAGAAAUAAAAAUUUAAAAAUUUAAUUAAUUUUUAUCAAAUAUUUAAAAAAAAUUAUAUAAAAUCAAUUAAUUCUGGUAUUUUUAAUUUUCAUGAUUAUUUUUUAAUAUUAUAUUAGUGAUUAUUAAAUUUUAUACAAUCACUAAUGCAAUAAGUUAUUAAAUGGUUAAUUUAUAAAUUAUUAAAUAUACAAGUAAUGAAAAUUUAAUCUCAAGAGUUAUUAGAAGUAAAAUUGUCAAUUUAAUUAGAUCAUAUAUAAUAAAUAAAAAUCUUAAGUAAAUCAUAAAUAAAAAUUAAUUGAUUAAUUAAUAUUAACAGAUAAUUUUUCUUUAAUUUUAUCCAACUAAACAAAUAUGUAAAUUAGGAUUACUAAUCCGAUGAUUUUAGGAUUAAAUUCAAAUUUAGUCUCCUUUAAUUCAAUUCAAAUAAAUUUAUCAAAUAUAAAAUAAAUAUUUAAUUUUAGAAUUAGUGCAAUUGGAUACUUAAUCCUACAUCCAAACAUGGUCUCAGUUGUCAUAAGGGCAACUUAGAAAGAGUCGUAACCGAAAACAUUUAUAAAGCCAUUUUUUCUUUUAAUUUUCAGGUUCAUAUAUAUAUAUAUAUGUGUGUGUGUGUGUAUAAUCUUUCUGCCAAUGAAGCGCCUACCAAUCAGAGAAGUUAAUUUUUUAAUAUAUUUUUCGACGCCGGCCCCACCCCUGAUCUUAUAGCUUUGACUCCAGAUGAAUGAGGCUUUUCAUUCACGUUAUUCUUUGAAAGAUCGUGAUUCCAAAGGCUGCUGACAAAAGAAGAUUCUGGAGGCUGCCAAUCAUGGCCAUCGCUGCAUAAAUAUAUAUAUAUUAAAUCAAACAGGAGUGCGGUUACUUUAUACGUACAACUUGGGUUCUUGCCUUGCUGCCGUCAUGGAGAAUUAAUGCCACUGGUCAACGGUGAAUCAAUGGCCAUCGGGCACCAAAUUCAUGACCAAUCAAUGGCCAACAAGCACCAAAUUAAUGCCAAGCACACCAACAACCACGGAUUAAAUGGCAAGUUUAGUGUUUUAAAGUUUAGAAUAUGGAGAAGCACUUGCUACUGUAUCCAGGUAUUAAAUCAUCAAAAACCAAUUUGGUUUGGACUCUUCAAUUUCAAUUUGACUUCUACACCAACACCACACAACAACUCAACAACCGAAUCACUCGUCCUAAUAGCAUAGCAAUCCAGUCGUCGGUUGCCCGCACGUGAGAGACAAUUUUCUUAUUCGUGCUCGGAAUUGUUGAAUUAAUUUUACAAUUCUCUUGUACCAAUUUUCAUCAUAUAUGCUCCCUCAAGAAGUGAAGAUCGAUGUCGGAAUCACUUUAAUUUAGUUUCAAUUACAUGAUGUUUGGGAUCUUCUUAUACCAAUUUCGGUCUACAAUUGCCUCAAGUAUCCAUGUCCGUCAAAUCUUAUUUGUAUUAAAGCAACCGCUUAAACCGUUAACCUGUUUGAUUUAAAAAACAAAUAUUUGGAGCUGUUAGAUUGAACUCGUGUAAAUUAGGAUUACUAAUCCGAUAAUUUUAAAAUUAAAUUCAAAUUUAGUUUCCUUUAAUUCAAUUCAAGUAAAUUUAUUAAAUAUGAAAUAAAUAUUUAAUCUUAAAAUUAAUCCAAUUGGAUACUUAAUCCUGACAUCCAGACAAGGCCUUAUUUGCCUUAAAGGCAACUUAAAAAGAGGUGUGACCGAAAAUGUUUAUAAAGCCUUUUUUUUUUUCGGGUUCAUAUAUAUAUAUAUAUAUAAUCUUUAUGCCAAUGAAGCACCUGUCAAUUAGCGAAGUUAAUUUUUUUAAAAUUUUUUUUCGACUGUGAUUCUGGAGGCUGCUGUCAAGACAAGAUUCCAGAGGAUGCUGAUAAGACAAAUUCAAAUUGACCUUUUUAAUAAUUAUUAUCUUUUCUAAGGUUUAAAAUUUUAUGUGUAACGUACAGCUAAUGUGAUGUAAGUUUUACCUGAUGUAUGAGUUGAUGAACCAUCAUGGUGAAAUCAAAAUACAAAAAUAAUAGAGGUCAAUAACAGCAUUCAAAAGAAAAGAAAAAUUAAAACACAAAGAAAAUAAGGCCGUUGGAUUCGUUUUUUCAAUUUUUUUUCUGAAUAUUAAUACGUUACAAUGAAAGAACUUGCUAAUAUUUUCCAUAUUGAUCAGGAUAAAAAGAUUGUUGAUACAAUCAUACGUCAAUUUUGUAAUAUUAUAGUACAAUUCAAAAGUUUUAUUUUAUUUUAAAAUAUAUUUAUCCUACAUAUUUAUAAAAGAUAUUGUAAAAGAAUUAAAUUAAUUAAGAUAAAAUCUUCCUGCAAUCAUACUUGUUCAAGCUUCAAGUGUUCUCUACAUUCACUAAAUUUUAUAAAAGUAUCUUCUUACUUUUUCUACUCUAUAGCCUUUCUCUUGUGAUGGAAAAUAAAUUCUUAACAAGCAUAGACUUGGAUAGGCUAGAAACCCUUUUUAUAACAAUAUUUCAUAACUUAGAAGACUUUACACUUCCUCCAUCAAAGAAGUGAAUUUAAUAACCUUUAUCACUUCGAUUAUGAAAAUGAUUAGUAAACUAUAAUGCUAUCCCUUGAAAUAAAUAAGUAGGUUAUUAAUAUAAGUUUAUCUAUUUAUUUAAAAAAAAAUCACUUAUCAUGUGGACUAUAUAAUGAAACUUUGUGGAGAUAUAUCUACCCACAUUUAACUAUAUAAUGAGAUAUGAAAUUAGAGGUCCAAGGAGUAGUACUCAAAUCUACAACCUCAAAAGUUGAGGUCGUGGCAGGCAAAAGAAAAAGGAGAACCACGUGUUGCUAGGAAAGGAACUUACAUGAGUAACUGCAAAUUAAGCAAACACUAAAUUUUUCACUCUUUAUAUGAUAAAAUCGGAAUGUGUAUAAAAAAUAAACAAUCAAAAAAUAAACCAACACAAUUGAAAACAAUAAAUCAACCAUAAGAGAUACAAAUUAUUUUAUGUGGAAAACUCAAAUCGAGAAAAAACCACAGGACCAUAGUCCAAUAUAACCUUCCAUUAUAUUAAUAAUGGGAUUACUGCACAAAUUCUUCUCUAAAUAAUACUAGAGGCAAACAAUAUCAAGAAUCUCAACAAUCUUGCUCAUAGUAAUAGUCUAAUAUUUUUCAUUCUAACAAGUGGGUAUCUCAGAUAACAGCCAAUGAGAGAAUGAAAUAAAAAUCAAGACCAGUAAGAAUGUAGAGGGCGAUGCCAAAAAUUUACCUUCCAAAUUUGGGAGAUUAAGUUUGCCUUUCGAUCGUCCAUUCAAAGAUUAAAAUCCUUACCCUCAAAUUGAGUUGGCCACUGUCUUCUUUUUCUCUCUCAUCUUUUCUAUGUUUUUAAGGCUGCUACUUCACUUGUCUACUUUUUCUUUUAUAGCCAGGUGAUUUUCAAAGCCCAAUUUGAUGACAAUUUUCAAUUAGCCAUAACAUCUUUCCUUUAAUUUCUUAAACACCCAAACUAAUGGAAACUUUGGUUUGGGCCACCCAAAUGAGAUGGAUUCAACAAAUCUUCCCAUCAGAUCAUAUGGGGGGCACUACCAAGCCCGUUCUCUGCUGACAGUCUUUCAGCUUCUCCUUGGGCAACGACUUUGUCAUCAUAUCUAACAUAUUCUUCAUGAAUAUAGUCAGGCUGCAACUAUUUCUUUUCAAGCACGUCUUGUAUUCAUUGAUACCUCACAUUAAUAUGCUUGAAUUUCGAAUGGUAUGUUAAAUUCAUUGCCAAGUGAGAGCACUUUGAUUAUCACAGUACACGACAUAGCUAUUUUGUUUCACAUCCAGCUCUUGAAAGAAAUUCUUCACCACAAAGGGUUUUAGUGAUUGCAAUAUACUCUGCUUCUGUGGUGGAGAAAACAACACGAAGUUUGAAAUCCUCUUAGACUACCCUUUGCAAAGGUAAGUAAAUAUCCUGAUAGGAAUUUUCCAGGAUCAACAUCUCUUGCCAUAUAUGUUGUACACUUAUAACACAGCUUGUCACCAUUAAAACAUAAACAUGCCUUGGAAGUGACUCUGAGAUAUCUGAGGAUCCAUUUAACUGUUGUUCAGUGUUCUUUGCCUGUACUAUAAAGAAACUGACUGAGUACACCAACUGCAUGGGCAAUAUUUGGUACAAGCCAUGGCGUACAUCAGUCUGCGAAGUGUUGAAGCAUAAAAUAGUCCUUUCAUCUGCUGCUUCUCUUUCUCGCUUGUAGGAAAAUGCUUGGAACUAAGCCUAAAAUGGCCUGCAAGUGGAGAACAAACAUAUUUUGCCUUGCUCAUGUUAAUUCUUUCAAGAGCACUUUCAAUAAAUGCUUCUUGAGAUAACCAUAACUUGUCAAUUUUUCUGUCAUAGGAAAUCGUCAUGCCAAGAAUGUAUUUUUCGAUCCUUGAUCUUUUAUUAUAAAUGACUUGCUAAGCUUUUUCUUUAGAUUAUCAAUCUUACUAGCAUCAUGGUCAACAAUUAACAUAUCAUCCACAUAAAGAAAAAGAAUGAUAAAAUUAUUAUCACCAAGCUUCUUUACAAAAAGAGAAUGGUCAGACAUAAUAUUGCUAACCAUGAUUCUCUGUAAAAAAAUCAAAUUUUUUGUAAUAUAGUCUUGGUGCCUAUUUCAGUCAAUACAAACUUUUCUUCAACUUGCAUACACUUUCUUUGUUGCCUUUAACAUUGAAUCAUUUAGGUUGCCCCAUGAAUAUCUCCUCCUUUAAGUCACCAUGCAAGAAACUCCUUCUCAUAUCCUAGAGACUUUCUAUCCAUCAACAUCCAAGAUUUAUCCAUAUUUAGACUAUUAACUUUCCUACAAAUGCAUCACAUUUCAUUUGUUCAGUUUUAUUAAUAUUGGAGUUUGAUAUUGUUUCCAACCAUAAGAACAACUAUUAAAGUUACAAAAUCAACAAGAAAACAGCAGUUAAAAUACAAUAAAAAAUAACACUUAACAGCAAGAGAAAACCUAUAUCUUCAUCAUGACUAAUUAUAACAGUAAUAUUAUAAGCCAUAUACCAUAAAUCAUGGAAAGAGCAAAUAAUAUAAUUUUCAAAAAAUAGAGAAAUAGAAAAAAAUAGAAGUACCUUUUGCUAUUCGUUCCAAGAAUCGCGGAGCUAGUAACAACUUAAGAGACUGAAUCACGACUAAAAAUAGAGAAGAAUAGAAGCAAGACUUGUUUUUAGAUUUCUACUGAAAAAGACAAAAUUAUUGAAAUAAAACUUGUCCACAACAAUAAACUGGCUAGCUAUUAAAAUGAUUUAAACAAUCCAUAAAUAAAGUAUUAAAUUAAGUAUGCAAAUGUCACAUGUAGCAAAACAACAUAUACAAUACGAUGAAAUUUCAACAGCAAAAUUGGGUGUUAAAACCGUUAAAUAAAAUCCAUUUUUCCAUUAGAGAAAUCUAAAUUUUGAGAAUUUUGGUUUAGCUUGCUUUGGUCAAACUCAGUCGGUCUGCACAGUGACAAAGAAAAAGAAGCAGUUGAAACAAAAUGAGAGUGACAUUGCAUAGACUUGAUAGUGAAAUGUCAUUUUCUUGAUGCUAAUUUAUUCCGUUUCUAUUUGGAAUGAUUGAUACAAGCGGAAAGGUUUUAAAGAAUUGCUUAAAAUACUUUAUAGGUGCAAAGAGCAAUUGCAGCAGUUUAGCCAUGUAAAUAAGUAAGCACUUGACCAGUAUGUAAAGUUCACAAAGUAGCUAGAAGAACUCCAGAGAAGGCAUUAGUAGAAUGUAGCCACUAUAAAAAUUUCCACAAACAAAUUAAUUUAUAAAAAAGCACUGGAUAAGGAGUUAAGCAUACAUUAAUUUGUUUUUGGAACAUACAGCGAAAUUUCCAUAUUGGCUACUAUUCUACUAAUGGUUUCUUUCCACAAUUCCCAAUAUUAAGAUCUAUUGAAAACUAAGCAUACAUUAAAUUGCUUGUGGAAAUUUACAUAAGUCAAUAUAACAGCAGUUGAACUGGAUGCAGUUUGGGUGGAGAAAAAUGGUUUAUGUUCCUAAUUCCCAUUAUUAUGUUCUAUUGAAAAUUAAACAUACAGUAAUUUAUUUCUGGAAAUUUACAUAAGUCAAUAUAAUAGUAGCUGAACUGGAUGCAGUUUGGGUGGAGAAGUAGUGAGCGCUGGUUUUGGUGGAGGUGUUGUCAUUAAAGAGGUACUAAAUAACUACAACUUUAAAUCAAAAGAAAGAGUUUGUGCUAAUAUUUGCCAUGCAUAACUUCAACUUUAAAUCAAACUAAUGCUUACAAAUGGCAUGCAUCCAUAUCCACCACGUCGCAUACUACAUCACUCUUAUAAAUCUUUCUAAUGGAGAAAGGAACACGACAUUAUUCGCAUUUUUGUCCCUUUCUUAAUCUACUAUAUUUUGUAAGGUGCUGGAUAUUUUUCUGUUGAAAGUCCUAUCACAUCAAUUAGCGCCUUUAAAAUUAUGUUCUCGCUAUUGUUGAUAUCAAUUAUCACAUUGCACACGUUAUCUUUGAUGGUGCCACGUGUUCUGAAAUCUUACUGCACUAAUUAUCCUCUUCAAAUCUUGGUGCUAAUAAAAUCUUCUACAUAGUGUAAUUCAACAUCUCUCCUUCAUGUACCUCUUAACUCUAAAGCUUCUUCAUCAUCUUCAUCCUCAACAUUAUUCAUCUCUACUUAGCCAUAGCGUUUAUUUUCUCUCUUUCAAAUAUCAAAUAAUGGUUAAUAUUUUCUUCAGGAUUAUCUUUUCUUUCUUGCUUGUGAUGCUGCUGCUGCUGCUGCUCAUGAAUGAUAAAGUGGCACUAGGGCAAGAUGGGGAUCCCGUGGGAUCAACACAAGGAGGAGGAGGAAGAGAAAUGGUGCCUGCCUUGUUCAUUUUUGGAGAUUCACUUAUCGAUAAUGGCAACAAUAACAAUCUUCCUUCUUUUGCCAAAGCAAAUUAUUACCCCUAUGAUAUCGAUUUCAAUGGUGCCCCAACUGGCCGCUUUUCUAACGGCUACACCAUGGUCGAUGAAAUUGGUAACUCUCUUUAUCUAUGCAUUUGAUUUAUAUUUUUAUAAUUUCUUUUCCUUUUCAAAAUCCUGAAGGUACAUGAAAAUUUAUAUACACCAUGAUUGCAUGCAAUGCAGGGUAUUUUAAUUGCUCAUCUGACGAAUUAUUAUGAUUACUUCUUCGCUAGCUAAAAGAAAAAGCAUAAAACAGAUGUCAUUUUUAGAUUUUUCUUCUUUGUAAAUUUGUGUCACACUCUUGAGCAUAGUUAGAAAUAUCUGUGAAGUGAGUUUCAUAGUCAUGGCUUCAAUGACACAAAUCCAAAUUCAUUACAAUUAAUUAAUUGGUUUCCUACUUCUAUCCCUUUUAAAAAAAAUAACAAAAUAAAAGCACUUGUUUAGUUAUCUAUUUGUGGGGGGGGGGGGGGAGGACUAUUGCCAUUUAUUGCUCUGCCCCUACCUCUAUAUGUCUCUUUGGGAGGGCUCACACUGUCCCAUAAUAUUUAUUUCUAAACAAUCACAGUCAUUAUCUUAAAUCAAUAAAAAUAACAGAAUUUUUUCUUUUAUUUUUUACAUUUAUUAUAUCUACACCCACUUAUACCUAACUUGUAUUAAUCUGCAAGUACGAUCUGUUUGGGGAUAAAUUCACCAUAUCUGGUAGGCAUGUCUUAUUAAUGGCUAAAAGCUUCCAUAUGCAUAACCUCUUUAAAUUGUGUCCCCUUUCAAAGAAAAUUUUCUUUAUUGUCCAUUAGCUUUUAUUUACUCUUCACAAAUAUUUUUAAUGUCAUAUUAACCAAAUCUUGUAAAUUCAUCCAUUCGGCUGAACUACUGGGACUUCCUCUGAUUCCUGCAUACUCUGAAGCUUCAUCCCAACAGAAGCUGUGAACAUUAUGUUUGGAAGAAAAGCUUUCUAUGGUGACCAGAGCGUUGUUUAUCCCAUGAAGUUCCAGCAGCUUGCCAGUCUUUAAACUUAGAAAUUAAAGGGACAUAUGUUAUUGUAAUGUUUCUUGCUUGCUUAAUUGCUUUGCAUAAUUGUUGGGAUUAUAUGCUCUUUUAAAGCAUAUUAAUUUAUUUUCUGAUUAAUAAAAUAUUUGAGAUAUUUUCAAUUGCAUAAAUAUUUUGAAUAAGGUCCGUUUAAUCAUAUUAUAUGUAUUUAUGUGAUCAUCAUAUGGAUUCACAGAAGAUAUAAAUACAAGUUAUCUUAUGAUUAAAUAAAUUAAGUUCGCAGUUGAUAAAUAGAGUUGGGCGCUCUAUUUAUGUUUAGACUGUAGUUAAUUAAUUGAAUGAUUUGUCUUAAUCAUAUAUCAAUUUACUGAUGUAGUUUGACUACAUUGAGUUGGAUGACAUAUGAGAUUUAAUUAACCUUGAAAUGACUGUUAGACUUAUUAAAUCUCAUAAGUAUUGAUUUUACUGUAAUCUUAAUCUUGAGUUAGUUAUGAUUUCAUGAUUGUAAUUGUUAAUCCAUUUGAGUUACCAAUGGGCACGACAUACAAUUGUGGUCAAGAUUACCCGGUAUCUUGGUGGGAGCAAUUAUGAGUAUUGGAGUUAUAGAUUAACAAUAUAGAAUUUGUACGACGCAUCUCUUGAUGGGUUUUCGGCACUUGAUCAUAGAAUUCUCUGAUCAGAGUGUGUCAACAUAUUUAGUAUGUUGAAAAUGAUCAUUAGAGAAAACCAGUAAGUAUCAAAGAACAAGAUGUAAUUAAAUUGAUUGGACAAUUGAGAUAUCGAUUUAAUUAACGAUGUGGUACAAAUGAUUGAGCAGUAAAGAAAUCAGUGUGGCUUGGGACGAAUUAUUAUUCGAACAUACAAUUAUGGAGGUCAGUUCCAAUCUUAUAGUGGAGUAGAGUUCGAAUUAAAUGAUUAGGCUUAUUUAAUUACAGGAUUAAUUGUUGUAGCCACUAUUGUAUAUUCCCAAAUGAUCCCUGGGUUAGCUCAUUUAAUUGACUGCAUCGCUACUGGAUUAAUAAGUAAGAUAACUAGCUAUUUAGGUUAAAAGCCUAAAUAUAUUAUUUAGUGGGAGGCUCCAUUAAUAUGCUUGAGUGUAAGGGGCCUUGUGUUAUUUUACAAGGUGGACCCCUAUAACACAAGAACAAGUAACGUGACUUUUGUUUUAAUUAUUUUUAAUUUAAAUCAAAUGGGAUUUAAUAGAAUUAAUAAAUAAAUAAAUAUGGAGCCUAGGGUUUCCACUAAAUAGAGAUAUAAAAAAGCUUAUUUUCUCUAAAGAAAAUAGAUAGAGGCCACAUUAUACAAAUCAGAGAAAAAGAUUUUCUCUCUAAUUUUGAGAGAAAUUUUCUUGUGCUAGUUGCUUUAGUGGUGAUAAAGGCACCCACACAUCAAGUGUAGAUCAAACCUGAGUCAUAGUCUAGAAGAUUAUUUGGUGGCGGAUCAUGAUCUAACAGGAGUAGUGAUGACGGAUCGUGGUAUGGGAGCCUAAAUCACUUUAGUGAAAAAAACAAAGAUUGUUCAUCUUCUCAAAUUUUCAAGGUACGAUUUCUAUAGUACAAAUUCUUAUAUAUUGUAUGAGAUCAAUCCUAAAUUUUUUAAAAAAAAAAAAACUGAUUUUUUCCACAACAAUUAUUAGCCACCGGUGUCUCGUCUGUCCAUGUGAGUUUUUACUUGUUUAAUUUGCUUGUGGGAAGUUUAUGUAAUCAAAGAACAAGUUGUGAUUGUGUUUUGUUGCGUUGAUAGUGGUUCAGUAAUUGGGACUACUUUGAUUAUGUUUUGGUAAUAGAUUUUGCUAGUUUACUAGUGCUUCAGUAGGAUUUUUCUUUUUUUAAAUUAUUAACUUAUGCAUCUAUUGAAAUCUGAACUCAAAACUUAAGCCCCAAAGAAAUUGCUUGUUACCAUUGGAAUUAGACUUGACUUUCGUAGUUUAUUAAUCAACUUGCUUGCUAGGUAGCCUUGCCAUAUGAUAUGGUUUGCUAUCUUAUGGGUGGUGAUGUUUCCCUUGCAAUACCCCUCGCAUCUGUGUAAGGACAUCCAUCUAAUUUUGUUGAUAAUUUUGGAAGUUAAACUUUCUUCCUUAAUUUGAAUGAUUGAAAGAUAAUAUAUAAUUUUAGCCU